rnacentral:rRNA from 1 species
AAAGGCGUUGCAUGGUUGGAACGUUCGUGCGGAGGUAAGGCCCAUGGCAUGCCUCUUAGCCACGUUUGUUUGAACGAUCUAUCAAAUCAUCAUGGCCCUCAUACUGUGGGCUACAGGCGUGUUACAUUGGACAGGACAGUACGAGCUUAAAACUGUACCAAAUUGACGGAUUGGGAAGCGGAUUGUUAAAACACAAGGUUUGUUUAGUUGAGAUAACUUGUUAUCUCUACCUGAUCACACUCCCACCAGGGCCGGUUGUGUGAUUCGGGCCUAACUGUAAGGCUGAAACAGCCCCCAUGAAGAAGGAAUAGCGAGUAAUCGUUGAUAAUUACGCAACGGUGAAGGCAACCUCUAUUGUGCACACAUUGCCCGUCACCUUAGGCGAUUGGAUUGUACAGGAAGAACUCUGGCUACACCGAUAAAGUCGCGGCCACGGAACGUACGCGUGAUCUGAGAGCUUAAGAAAGUCGUAACAGGUUGGGGUACGGGAACGUGCUCCAGUAUCAAUUUUUAUAUAA